GACGAACGCUGGCGGCGUGCUUAACACAUGCAAGUCGAACGGAAAGGCCCUGCUUUUGUGGGGUGCUCGAGUGGCGAACGGGUGAGUAACACGUGAGUAACCUGCCCUUGACUUUGGGAUAACUUCAGGAAACUGGGGCUAAUACCGGAUAGGAGCUCCUGCUGCAUGGUGGGGGUUGGAAAGUUUCGGCGGUUGGGGAUGGACUCGCGGCUUAUCAGCUUGUUGGUGGGGUAGUGGCUUACCAAGGCUUUGACGGGUAGCCGGCCUGAGAGGGUGACCGGCCACAUUGGGACUGAGAUACGGCCCAGACUGCUACGGGAGGCAGCAGUGGGGAAUAUUGCACAAUGGGCGGAAGCCUGAUGCAGCAACGCCGCGUGCGUGAUGACGGGCUUCGGGUUGUAAACCGCUUUCGCCUGUGACGAAGCGUGAGUGACGGUAAUGGGUAAAGAAGCACCGGCUAACUACGUG
rnacentral:rRNA from 1 species